ACGAACGUUUGGGCGGGCGUGGAUUAGGCAUGCAAGUCGAACGAAAUCCCAGAGGGGUAACUCUUUGGGGGAAGUGGCAAAAGGGGGCAGUAAGGCGUUGGGUAACCUACCCCGGGGAUUGGGCAUAGCCGGGCUAACGGCCGGGUAAUUCCAGCGACCUCUCGCCGAGGCCCAUCUCGGGGGAGAGCAAACGAAUCUCCGCUCGGGCGGGGCUCACAGUGUAUUAGCUGGUUGGUUGGGGUAACGGCCCCACCAAGGCUCAGAUGCCUAGCGGGUGUGGCGAGCACGACCCGCGCCACUGGCUACUGCGACACUGGCCCAGACUCCCUAGGGAGGCUGGCAGUCGAGGAUCUUCGGCAAUGGGCCGGAAGCCUGACCGAGCGACGGCCGCGUUGUGCGAGAUGAAGGCCUUCGGGGUCGUAAAGCACUUGUCGCGGAAGAAGGAACGCCCGCAAAGGGUUUGAACCGACCUCCGGGAGGAAGCACGGGCUAAGUUCGUGCUAGCAGGGCCGCGGUAAGACGAACCGUGCGAACGUUGUUUCGGAAUCACUUGGGCUUAAAGGGCGCGUAGGCGGCCCGCUCAGUCCGAGGUGAAAGCCCCCCGGCUCAACCGGGGAAAGGGCCUUGGAGACGGGGCGGGCUCGAGGGGGGAGAGGGGCGGACGGAACUUUUCCGGUGGAGCGCGUGAAAUGCGUUGAUAUCGGAAGGAACGCCGGUGGCGAAAGCGGUCCGCCGUGGGUCCCUACUGACGCGCUGAGGCGCGAAAGCCCAGGGAGCAAACGGGAUUAGAUACCCCCGGUAGUCCUGGCCCCUAAAACGAUGGGUACUAGGCUGUGGGCUUGACAUGGGCGCACCGCCGAAGCGAGACAAAGUGCCUAAGUACCCCCGCCUGGGGGAGUAUUGGGGGUCGCAAGGCCUGAAACUCAAAGGAAUUGACGGGGGGCUCACACAAGCGGUGGAGCAUGUGGCUUAAUUCGAGGCUACGCGAAAGAACCUUAUCCUGGGCUUGACAUGUGCGAAAAAAGCGGGGGGUCGGCAGUAGCCCGCGGAAAACGUGGGGGGCCAACGGUAAUCCCAGUCCGGAACCGACUACAGGUGCCUGCAUGGCUGGUCGUCAGCUCGUGUCGUGAGAUGUCGGGUUUAAGGGUCCCAUAACGAGACGAAAACCAUUGCCUUCCAGUUGCCAGCGGGAUCAUGCCGGGGACUCUGGAGGGACUUGCCGGUUGUUAAACCGGAGGAAGGCGGGGAUGACGUCAAGUCCUCAUGGCUUGAUGCCCAGGGCCUUGCACACGUGCUAACAAUGGCGUGAACAAAGGGAAGCCAAGUCGCGGACCCAGCCAAUCCCCUAAGGCACGCCCAGUUCAGAUCGGAGGCUGCAACUUCGCCUCCGUUUGAAGCCGGAAUCGCUAGUAAUCGCGGGUCAGCAACACCGCGGUGAAUGUGUUCCUGAGCCUUGUACAACACCGCCGUCAAGCCACGAAAGAUCGGAGCGCCCGAAGACCGGUUCACCCCCGGGCUACGGCGAGACGGUCGAUUGGGACU
rnacentral:rRNA from 1 species